rnacentral:rRNA from 1 species
CAUAGCCACGGUAAUACGUAGGUGGCAAGCGUUGUCCGGAAUUAUUGGGCGUAAAGGGCUCGCAGGCGGUUUCUUAAGUCUGAUGUGAAAGCCCCCGGCUCAACCGGGGAGGGUCAUUGGAAACUGGGAAACUUGAGUGCAGAAGAGGAGAGUGGAAUUCCACGUGUAGCGGUGGAAUGCGUAGAGAUGUGGAGGAACACCAGUGGCGAAGGCGACUCUCUGGUCUGUAACUGACGCUGAGGAGCGAAAGCGUGGGGAGCGAACAGGAUUAGAUACCCCAGUAGUCCCUGUCUCUUAUACA